AAAAUGAAAAAAAGGAAUUCAAAAUUAAUCAAUCUUGAUGGAUACAUAAUUUAACGUGAUCAUGCUACAUUAGUUGCAAAAAAUUCCAGACAAUGCUAAUUUUGAAUGAAAAAAAAGGGUCCAAAAUAAAACUGUCUGAAAUUUUUAAGCGUCCGAAGUGUUAAGGAUCUGGAAUAUUCAUUGUACAGUUUAAAAUUUUUAAGUACCUCCAAAGCUCUCAGUUUCAUUUCAUGAAGUGAACUCUAGUCGAGACAUGGCUUGAGAUUUGAAACGGCAUGAUAGCUGAGUUUGUGUUAUUUUCUCCCUGGUAUUUCUCUUGACAUCUUAAGGGGGACGGUAAAACUACAGUUUUCACAGACUUUGUUUUCAACUAAUUUGAUUUUCGCAGGAGUAAAUUUACUAAUUCGCUAUGUUUCAUCACAGUGUCUGAAUUUUUUCUCCGAAAUUUGUCCUAAAUCAGAUAAAAAGUGUCCACAAAUUAAAUGUCCAGAAUUAAACAUCCGAUAAAUUUUUGCGGGUAAUGUAUACCAUGCCAGUCUUGCUAUAAGUUAAUUCUUCAGAAGAAAAAAAAUAGGAAAUGUUAAUUCUUGUGAAUGUUCCAGUAUACUAACAAUUCCGGUGUGUUCUAUAUUUAUCUACUUAAUAUUUUCCUCAACUAGCGUGGCAUACAGGUUGUUUUUCUGCUGAAAUUAUUGAACUGGAAAACAGAAGCAACAGUUAGCUAUUCAAACUCUACCAAAUCCUACCCGGUACUGUUGAUUGGGAUAUCUUUCACUGUGGUAACCCUGCACAUACAAUGCGGGUAAAAUUUUGGCUUUCUGCAUCACUACUUAAGAGAGAAUGUGCUAUUGAUCUGCAAAUUGGUCGUAAUGAGGAAAAACUGCAACAAAUGGGUGAAUACCUUUGAUGUUUAUAGGUUUCAUGUAUAUAUUAAUAAAUCUCACCCAAACUACACGGAGCCUUAACCAGACCCAUCCAAAACAGUUGAGGUGAAAUAAAUGUAAAACAAACAGUUGGCAAGCAAAUUGAAGUGGGUCUAACAUAAAAACGGAUCCGACAGAAAGAAGAAUUGCCUUGAAAAAAAUAAACAAACAACUGAAGCUGCUGUUCCACUCAACAAGAGAAUCAAUAAUUGUGUAAGAUCUCUGAAUGGUCAGUCAGAUCACUGGCUGGUUAAAUGGAGCCACAGGUUGCAAUCAAUUUUGACAUGGAUUAACAAUUUGGUUAAUAGCCUAACAUGAUGUCCAUUUGUUAGCAUGCAAAAAACUGACUUACAUCAAAACACCUGUGUAAUUUAUAAGCAAUGACGAGCUUGAAAACAUAAUUCUUUUUCAAGUAGUUGGCAGUAACACCUGAAAUCUUAAUCUUCAAUUUAAUAGUUUGAUUUCCAGUACAGUUGUAAAACUAAAUGAACCUGCAAUUUAUUAACAAAUGUACUGUCUGUGGUGCAUAUAUACUGAUAAAAUUUUUGACUACAAACUCUAUAUUAAUUAUAAAGGUUUGCAUUAUAUGGUUCACUAAAAAGAAAAUGUUACUGGUUAAACAAAUUCCCUCCCCCGAACACUUAAAACUGUAAGGCAUUCUAGUUUCAAGCUCAAGUGUGCUAUAAAAAAACGCAAAUUCAAAAAAAAAAUACCAGUCUGCUAGGAAAAUGCAGAUGAUUUCUAGCUUUUCAACUAACUUUGUUAACACAUCGUAGCAAAAAUUUAUUGAAUCAAAAUGUCUACAGAAAGAAACGAAAGUCAUUGUGGGCAGAAAAAAAAACAGAUUAUGAGAGGUUUAACAUGUUAUAUUUCACCAGCACUAGAUUUUAUAAUAUUCAAUUAAAAUUGCUCAAUAUACAACACGACCAAAUAGUUCCAUGUGGCAUACUAAUCAGGAUAAAUAUUAAGGUCUUUGUUUCAUGGAAGACAAAAGUUUGAAAAAUUAUGCCACAUAAAAUUUCACUUUUCGAUACCAUUUAUAACUCAAUAAACUAAGCAUGCACUCUGCCAAAAUAAUUUACGUAACAGAGUUAUUAAAGCAACGAAAAAAACAUGCAGCGGAUUAUCACAACUGCAAAUGAAGAUACAAAAUUCGCUGAAUCUAUCAAGAUCAUCAUCACAUUUGAUUUUUGACUCACUAAGCCUCUGAAAAAUUGAUAAGUUGGUUUUCUACAACACAAAUUACGGGAAAUUGAUGAUUUACAUCGAUCAUGCAACCGCUGUGGUGAAGGGUUAAUGUAAAACUGCGAGAUACAUAGCGAACAUAUUUCAAACAAUUGAACACGCGUAGCAUACAUUUAGAGCGUAACUGAGCAUUCGUGACAUCUAACACUGUUCAGGCUGAUUUCUAGGUUUGCGGGCGAAAACCGAUAAGAAGCCUUGAAGUAUGCUAACAUUUUCAUGAACUCUGGCGAGCCAGCUGCCACGCAGAAUCGGGAUUCGUGUUGAAUGCCAGUAAUGUAGUUAUUACAACAAGAGAUCGGCGUUGUUCAGUUGAUAUAAACAACCGACUGUCCAUUCCAUGCCUUCGUGGAAGAUACGCCUCCUGAGCUGUAUUGAAGAGUUCCUACUUUUGGCUUCACGGCCCGAGGAAUUUUGGAGAUGGUGGCUCUAAGAAAAGAGCUGACAACGGUUGACUCUUUAUUGUAUAACGACUAUGUCAUGAUGAAGGUUCAAGAGGCCGCAGAAAUGUCAACUUCUACUUAACAGGUUUUCACUGUCAGCCAGGACGAGGAAUGAGGAGACGUUUUGCUAGUUGAUCAAUGAAUGCUCUGCACGAUGAAGAUGAGAUGUAAACAGGGAACCAAGUGGAUCAGAAACUUGGCAAUCAGGAUUUACAUGCUGCAGUUAUCCAGAUCAGAUGCCAACAGCAACAAAGUGGACUAAAUCUUCAAGGAGUUUUCUUCAGAAGGGCUGUAUGUUCUGUUUUGCAAUCCAUCUCUUGGGGCAACUAGAAUUGGAUUACAUUUUCAACUUUGGUGAAUGCAUAUUAACUCAGUUGGCAAGUGGGCUACAGCACCAAUUGACUGGCUGAUUGACAUUCUCAUGGUAGCUGUGGUCAUUCAGUUUGUUUUAUACAUUACCAAAAACUGACAGACUGAUUGAUUGAUUGGAUGGUUGACUCGACUGACUGACUGAUUGAUUGAUUUUUUGAUAGAUUGAUUCUGAUGACCGGCUGACUCACUCAUGACUGGCUGACUCACUCAUCACUGACUGACUAAUUGACUCAUAAUUGACUUACUGAAUGACUCAUUACUGACUGUCUGUCUGACUGAUUGACUAACUGACUGACUAACAGAUUGACUCAUGACUGACUGACUGAGUGACUGACUGUUUUGUGAGCGCUGAUUGACUGACCAAUUGACUCAUGACUGACUGACCGAUUGACUCAUGACUGGCUGACUAACUGUUUCAUGACUGCUGACUAACUAACUGAC